GGAGAUAUUUGGAAAUGCACAAAUUCUUGCAAAUUCUUGCCUUGUUUUGGUUUCACAAGGGGGAGAACUUUGCUUUUGCAUGCCUUGGUUUCAGGGGGAGUGCAUUCGUUCAGAGGGAGUCCAAUCUUUAUGAGCUUUUGUGCUCUUUUUCCGGUCGCGUUGAGCUUUUUACCUCUUCUGGAGGAACUAGUGUUUAAUUUGAGCUUGGAUCUUCACAUGAUUGGUGUUGAGCCCUUUCUACCUCUUCCUGAGGGAUCAUGUGAUUUUAUCUCA
rnacentral:lncRNA from 1 species